rnacentral:rRNA from 1 species
GGCCACACUGUACUGAAUACAUCUCAUUUUUGAAGCCAAGUAGUCUUGGGCCUGGCUAAUACUUGAACAGGAGACCACCCUAGAAUUCUAGGCACCUAGAUAA